GGUGUUUUUGACUUGGGUGCUGGGGGAAGCAGCUGCAAAAACCAAACCAAAUCAAAUAUCAUUACACUAUCCUCCUUGUUGAAUCUAAGUGAUUAAUGAAGAAAAAGAAUAACACAGUGGGAACUGGGAACAGAAAGUACCUGAUAACAAGAUAUGAGUGAGGUGGUGAAUCCAAGAGCUCCUGUAACACGAGGGAUGGAGAGUGGAGGCAGAUAUUUUAGGCUUUUCUGAAGAAUUUCGCCGUUAAGAACAAACACACGGUGAGUGUGUGUGUAUGUGUGAG
rnacentral:lncRNA from 1 species